rnacentral:miRNA from 1 species
UGGAGAGCCUGGCAAAGC